AUUGAACGCUGGCGGAAUGCUUUACACAUGCAAGUCGAGCGGCAGCGCGGGGCAACCUGGCGGCGAGCGGCGAACGGGUGAGUAAUACAUCGGAACGUACCCUAUUGUGGGGGAUAACGAAUCGAAAGAUUCGCUAAUACCGCAUAAGACCUGAGGGUGAAAGUGGGGGAGCGCAAGACCUCACGCGAUAGGAGCGGCCGAUGUCGGAUUAGCUAGUUGGUGAGGUAAAGGCUCACCAAGGCGACGAUCCGUAGCGGGUCUGAGAGGACGGCCCGCCACACUGGGACUGAGACACGGCCCAGACUCCUACGGGAGGCAGCAGUGGGGAAUUUUGGACAAUGGGGGCAACCCUGAUCCAGCCAUUCCGCGUGAGUGAAGAAGGCCUUCGGGUUGUAAAGCUCUUUUGUCAGGGAAGAAACAGCAGCUCUAACACAGUCUGCGAAUGACGGUACCUGAAGAAUAAGCACCGGCUAACUACGUGCCAGCAGCCGCGGUAA
rnacentral:rRNA from 1 species